rnacentral:rRNA from 1 species
CAAUAGCGUAUAUUAAAGUUGUUGCAGUUAAAAGCUCGUAGUUGGAUUUCGGAACCGGCCGAUUGGUCCGUCCUCUGGAUCGUGUACUGAUCGGUCUGUUCUUCUUCGCGAAGACCGCGUGUGCCCUUAACUGGGUGGGCGCGGGAUUCGGCGACGUUUACUUUGAAAAAUUAGAGUGUUACAAAGCAGGCAGUCGCUUGAAUAUCUCAGCAUGGAAUAAUAGAAUAGGACUUUGGUCUUAUUUUGUUGGUUUCCGAGACCGAAGUAAUGAUUAAUAGGGACAGUUGGGGCAGUUCGGUAUUUCAUUGUUCAGAGGUGAAAAUU